ACCACAUUUAUAGCACUUGUACAAUAAGCUCUAUCAUAUCCAUAACUUAUUAUAGGGCUUGAUAAUAAAAUGCUAUUAAAACAUGUGGAAAAAAUUAAUUAAAGCGUAUAAGGAAAAUAAGAAAAGAAAAAGAGCGGCUCAUGUUCACUCGAUUUCUUUUAAAGUUAAAUACGGAGUAUUUCACUACUCGUUGAACCCCCCUCACAUCCUCUAUUCCAGUUCUAAUUUUAGGGUUUUACUAUUCAUCAUAGGUUUACAAUUGAUAAUUGAGGAACUGAAAUAGGCAAUGGAGGAGAUCACAAUCAAAUGGCGGAUCUUGUUCAUGGGUUUCUUCCUCUCCAUUCUCUUACAUCUACGUCAAGGUAUCAAACUAACAGAGCGAGGUUUCCUAAACGUUCGAACGUUUUUGAACCUGCUUAUUCGCUAUGAUUUCGAUACCCUCAUUCUUCUCCUUACUCAGCUCAAGAUGAGGGGGACGUUAAUAACGUUAUGGAUUAAAAGAGAUUUUUGUUGUGCUAUUAUUGAAGAAGUUGGUAGAGGUCACUUCUCUAGUUCCUGGUUACCAAGUGGCUCUGGAGCCUAGGAUCGACUAUUGGCUUUGCAAUCGUUGCAAAGAAGGAAAUUACAAUAUUUGCCCUGAUAUGAGGUUCUUUGCAAUUCCACCUAUUCAUGUAUCUCUUGCUAAUCAGGUAAAACUUGAUUUUAUAUUUAUUCAUGACCUUAUAUUAUACUAUAAGGUUUAAUAUUGUCGUUUUCUUAUGUUGUUACAUGAUUUAUAGAUUGUGCAUCCAUCAGCUUUAUGCUUUAAGCUACUUGAGAUGUAAGUUUGGAAGAAGUAACAAUGUGUGAACCUUUAAGCGUUAGUUGGAAAUAUAGGGAAUAGUUUAUUGAAAUAACCUAUCUAAUAAGCCAAGCCAACCUGCCAAGCUUAGAAGCCCAACCGGCCAGCAAGGCCCACGACAAGCAUGUAGCGCGCAACAAGCAGUUGGUCCGUGGGCCAGCACUGCUGCUGCUGCUCCUCUUCCAUGCGCGCGCCUAGGCACUAAGGCCAUGGGCCAGCGUUGCGUGCUUGCACGCUGCGCCUAUGGGCCUUGCGCCUCGUGCGCUUGGCUCGUGGGUUGCUUUCGUGUUGCGAUUAAAUUAUCCUUCGACAAUUUAUUUAUCGUUUCUUACUUGACGACCCAAUGUCAUUCGAUACGAUUAUUCGUUUCGCCUAGCUUACGAAUAUACGCAAUACAAUAUACGAUUUCACGAUCCAAUGUUAAAUCGUAUAAUUAUGUUUUCCGAACUAAUUUCCCGAAAAGAUAUUAAAUGAAUUUUCGAUUCAUUUUAUCCGGUUAUCUGUUACAUGCCAAUGGUGUGACCUUAUAGGUUUAGUCAAGAGUAAGUUGUGAGCCUAAUUAGGAUUAGAACUCAAUAAUCAGAAGCAUUUCUCCAGGAAGCUGUUCCGACCACUUGAUCUCACUGAAUUAAUUGUUCGUAAUUAAUCUGAACCUUUGGUAUUAGACUAAUGCACAUUGGGUGAAGGACACAUUUCCUUCAGUCUCCCACUUGUCCUUUAGACAAGUGUGAAUUCACAUUCCUUUGUCGCUUAGUGUUACUUGCUGAACAUAAGAUAAGAUCUAAGCCAUCCUUAUUAGGUCCAUAAGUGUUUCUCGGAUUACUGAGUUCUACUGUUAAACUUUUACAGAAGGUUAAGCCUUAACAAUUAUGAGCACGGCCAUGCAUUUUCACAGUAUCUAACUCUCCGAGAGGCCUUGUUACACAACAACACCAUAUCAUAUCAAAGUUAGGAGGACAAUCAAUUCUUGUAAUAUAUGAAUACUCACUUUGAUUCAUAGUACUCCAAAUAACUGCUUUUAUAAUCUCCUUUUACGGUGCGAUGUUUAGCGAGUAUCAAGCGAACUAAUCUUCAAACAAGCAAUCAUAAUUAAUCAUGUUUUGAGGAAUGGUUCUAAUCACCAUUAAUGAGAACUACUUAUGACAUGAAUUUAAUCUCUUAAAGUGUUCUCAUUGUCAAUGCGAUACGAGAUCCUAUAAGUAUCUAUGCAAAAGAUUACUGACAUAUAAUGCCCAUCUAGUUCAAAAAACUAAACUAUAAAUCUACUUGCAAUCUAAUCUUCAUUAGUCAUAUUGGUCGUCCAAUUUUUCAAUGACCUGGAUUAGGGAUCCUUUUGUAACUUCAAUAUUCAAGUUCACCUAUGGGAGUUUCUUUGUCAAAGAAUCCAUCUUGACAUCCCAUUUGAAUGUUUUGAAUCACUUGGACUAUAUCAUUUAAUACUAAACCAAAAUUAAAUGAAUAUGCAAUAAAGCAUUUCAUAAAUAUGAAAUGGUUAAACCAAUUGUUUUAAACACAGAUCCAAUAAAUGUGUAAUCCCCCGUGAUUUUAUACAUUGUUUAUAUAUAUAUUUUUACGUAUAUUUAAUAUAUUUAAAUACAAUUUGCGGAUUUUAGAAAUGAAUAUGUAAUUAAAAUAUAAUUAUUUUAUUUCAUUUUGAAUACUUUAAUGAUUUACGAAAUCAAAAUGUAUUUUUGAAUUUUACGUCAAAACGAAUUCGAAUUACGAAAUCACGUUCUAUUGAAAUUAAAAAGCAAUCCUAAACAUUUUGGAUUCAACAACCUAAAUCCUACUCCUAGCCCAAUUGGGCAAAGUCCAAACCAAUAAAACCCAACACAAUACUCCCUUCUCUUUUCUACUUCACGUGAAACCAAAAAAAAAAAAAAGCAAACCUCCCCUCCUUCACUAUUCACGUAACAAACCCUCAGCACUUACCCUCCUUGCUGCCGCCUCCCUCGCCGCCGGACCACCACCUGUGCGUCCAACCAGUCGCCGCCGGUAAGCUUGGUCCUUCUGCUCCUUCGACCUCCUUCUCCUUCGUUCUUUUCCUUCUAAUUUCUUGCGUUCUUUUUCCUUUUGAUUGGUUUCCGUUCGGCUUCGCACAGCAGCCCACCUUGCUGUAACCGCCAUCGGGCAACCACUCAUCGUGCCGCCGUCCACCUUGCACGCAACCACCGCACGCAACCACCGUGCUCAACCCUUGCCGCAAGCCACCACCUGUCCGCCGGCCAACCUCCUCUCUCCCUCUUUUCUUGGCGGAGAAUUCUCUUUAGGCGACUUUUGAAAGUGUUAAAGUGGCCUAUCAGUUUGUUUACACAAGUCUCUAAGGAUCAAUAAGCGUUGCCCAUCUACAGGUUUGAAUAUGAUGCAUCAUUGGGAUCGGGAUUAGAGAGCUUGUAUUUAGAUUUGUUUUGUUAAAUGAUUUGGUUUGUUAAUUUGGACUUGAAAUUUGUCGUACUAUUCGUAUUUCCUUAUUUCCGUUAAUUGGUUUUUGGACUUAAUAUGUAAUCGAUUAUUUAUAAACCUAAAAGUUAGUUUUAUGUUUUCCGCUGCAAAAUUCUGAAUAAGCCGUUACGUUUUCA